rnacentral:tRNA from 1 species
UUAAUUGAAGCCAAAUAGAGGCAAAUCAUUGUUAAUGAUUUCAUUGAAAUUUAUUUCCAAUUAAA